UGGAUUACAAAAACGCUCACAAGACGAAGAAUGCCUAGUCGCUAGUCCGUAGAUACAGUUGGCCAGCCUUGGUCAGCUUGAAACUUUACAAAUUCAGCGAGAAGCUUGAUUUCUUCGUCCUGCAACCGCGGUCCAAAGGUACAUUGUCCUCUCGGUGUGCAUUUCUCACCAAAUCCCUGAAGUAAAUCAUCAGACAUACUUCAGAUCAUCUAGCUAAGUGGAAGACAAUUCUCAGUUUUAUACAAGGAAUUUCUUCAAGGAGAUCUCACCGGCAUUCUUCCCUUUCCAAAAAUAUUAUAGAUGCACACAGCACACAGUUCUUUGAGUGUCCAGCAUAAGUUAUAUUACCUUUCGAGGUCUUUUGUGAAAAGCGUUGCACCCUGGAAAAGUGGAAAGAUAUGAGCUAAUUGACUCGAAGGUAAUGAAAGAUGACAUGAGAAGAGAAUCAAGAAUGGUUUUUAGCUCACAGGUUGAAUAAUGUUUCCACCUGUAUCAUGACACCCGAUACAAGCUCUAUUAAACAAUGUAGCUCCUCUCUGUAUAUCCAAAGUCUGCCCAAGAGAUUCUAC
rnacentral:lncRNA from 1 species